UGGGUAAUGUGGACUCUGGUUAUAGUAGUCAAUGAGUGCUAAUUUAGUGUUGCUCUUUUUGUUUUUCCUCAUCAUAGGUGCUUUGUUGACGCUCAGCUUCCAGGCUCAAGGUCUCAAUUCUUAGCCAGGACACAGGAUGACAAGCUCCACAUGUCCAUUGAUGCCUUCAGAUUUUAUAAUGAGGACAGAGGGGAGCUGCUACAACACAUGUCACUUAG